AUAUUUCUUUAAAGGGAUCAAUAUGAGCAAUAUCAAUGCAUUUUUUCCGCAACAUGAUGCACGCAAACACAGCAAAGUUAUGUUUUAAUAAAUGGGAGGGACAGUCCCGUGAACGCAACACCAACUCAGGUAAAACAGAUUUCCUGCCCCGUUCACGGACAGAAGUAUCGUUGAAGUGGACUUUGAAGUGUAUCAUGGGAAACAUGUCGCUGCGGUUAGGCUACCUCCCUGCUCCUAGCCGCGGCCUCACGUUUGUUCACAUCGCGGCCUUACAAGCCAGGAAAAAAAAUGAAUUUUUAUAAUCCAGGCGACGCUACGGGAAGGCUACACCCAAAGUUUGCUAGCUUAAACUUUGCCAUCCAAUCACUCCCAACUCACCCGACACUUGAUGGCUCGUCGCGGGGAGAAGUGAGUCGACUAGGCCGACAAGUGCGCCAUUCAACCGAGCGCUGUUAAGUCCUCCAGAUGUCUGUGAAGUUUUAGUUUGGCGUUUUUUUCCCUUCCUUCUAUCGCCAGUUUGAGGAGUCUUUCCAGGCUUGGUGUUAUUACCAUGGGCGGAGCAGGGAGUUCCUGUCCGGGCUCUGACAGGAAACUGAGCCGAGUGAGGCGGCCACACACUGGAGCCUGCCCCCGCCAGCCUCAGCCAAGGUGAAGCUAAAGGAAUGUACAUUGUUACUAUGCGGGCUCACAAAAACAUAAACACACAAUAAACUCAUUUUGAUAAGGGGUUAUUACUCCGGGUUUCUUUAUUAGUUUGUGACUUAGCAGACUAGUUUAACAUUGGGGUCUACUGUGCCAGUGACACACCAUAUCCACUAGAUGGCCUUAUUUUCGAGGUGGGCGUAUCGAUCCAAAUAUCGAUCUUCUGAGUUUGAAAAAUGUCCAAGAAAAAGCAUCGUUAUCGACGAUACUAUACCUGUAUUUACAGUAUUUGGGAUUGAAUACCAAAAUGUGUAGUAUGCCCACCUUAUUAGUAAUGUGCAUUACCGCCACCUACAGGACCGGAGUGGAACAGUGAAACGUUAUUUUUACAUUGGCUACAGCUAUGCUGUAGUUUUGCCUUUGAAAUAAACCAAUAAAUGGCUAUAAUGUCGUUUAAUGCAUAUAUAUUUACAUUUUGAUUGUAUUCCAGUUCUAGUUAAAAACAUUAAAAACUGUUAUGAUUGUUUUCAUAUAUUGAUAAUAUUCCCUCAGUACAUACACCAAAAAUGUUAUUGGUGAAACAAAAUGCCUAAAUCCCUUGAUAAAUGCAACCAUGCCGUAAGGCCCACAGCUUGUUUUUAUGUACCUGUGGAAUUCUUUACAGAAAAUAUUGAAUAUUGCACAGAACAAUUACAUGCAGAGUGGGAAAAUGAUUGUUUUGAAGUUAAAAUAACUUUGGAGAAAAUUGUACAUGUUUCAGACAUUCAACAAAAGUAAAUAAGGGAUGGCAUUGAAUGCACCAUGACUUGAAUGUACACAUUUCAAAUUAAAAUCUGAUUCAUUUUCUUUGUUAAAGAGCUACAAAAAUAUGUAAUAUGGAAUUGGUAUG